CCUUUCAGACCCCUUGUCCAUUUCAAUGGACACUACUUUUCGAGAGUAAUAUCUCAUAUCUGAGAGCACAGAUGUUUUUAGGAUUGCUUGUACGUCGCAAUGGAAGUCUUGUGGUUCAAUCUGAUGGGCGAUCCUGCCAUCUAGUGGUGAAGUCACGAAGUAUUUGGACGUUGUUUGAGACAAGAUGGCCGCACAGAGGAAGCAUGUAAAAGAAUUUUAUCAUACUGAGAGGGAUGCUUCCCAAAUACUGGAUUUGCUGAUGUCAGGUGAGGUUUCUGUCUUAGAGCUCUCAGAAAACGAUGAAAGUGGCCCUGAUGAUGCAGAAUCUAUUCCACAAUGCACUAGACCUGUUGCUGAUGGAGGACGAUAGUUGCAGCACAGAAGAAGAUGUCCAAAAUCAUACUUAUGCACAGGACUCAAAUGUUGAAGACUCUCUUAUUCCAUCUGAGUGGGUG